rnacentral:rRNA from 1 species
AGCGAACGCUGGCGGCAGGCCUAACACAUGCAAGUCGAACGGAUCCUUCGGGAUUAGUGGCGGACGGGUGAGUAACACGUGGGAACGUGCCCUUUGGUUCGGAACAACUCAGGGAAACUUGAGCUAAUACCGGAUGUGCCCUUCGGGGGAAAGAUUUAUCGCCAUUGGAGCGGCCCGCGUCUGAAUAGCUAGUUGGUGAGGUAAAGGCUCACCAAGGCGACGAUCAGUAGCUGGUCUGAGAGGAUGAUCAGCCACAUUGGGACUGAGACACGGCCCAAACUCCUACGGGAGGCAGCAGUGGGGAAUCUUGCGCAAUGGGCGAAAGCCUGACGCAGCCAUGCCGCGUGAAUGAUGAAGGUCUUAGGAUUGUAAAAUUCUUUCACCGGGGACGAUAAUGACGGUACCCGGAGAAGAAGCCCCGGCUAACUUCGUGCCAGCAGCCGCCGUAAAAC